AGAGAUAAAUAUAUAAUGUUGCCACCAAAAAUACAAUUUCGUAUUCUCCCUAAUAAUGAGCGUAUAAAUUGAUUUUUAAAGUAAAUUACCCUUGAAGAUACUUUUAGCUAUUAUUCUAAUGCCAAAAAAUAUACUUAGUUGAGAAAUAUUAGAUAUAAAAUUUAAUAUUACUUAUUAGAAAAUAUAUAUGGGGGAUUAUGUGUGGCAACACUAAUGUCCGGACGCCAUAUUGGUUUUGACAUUGUUGACGUCACAAGAAAAAUGUCUGCGGCCGGUUGCGCACCAUUUUAUCUUGUACUAAUGUUUAUUUGUAAUAAAUAAACUACUUCCAUUUAAUUCUACAUACAUUGAUAACGUUGAGUCGAGCUUGCUCCUCCGUUGCUGUGUUUUGGUGAAAUUAAGUGUGUAUUUGUGAGAUAUAGACUCGGUGUUGAGACAGUGACUUGUUUGAUUUUGUUUUGUGUUUAAUUCGCGAUGAGUUCACAAAAAGAAAACACAAGAAUCUGCUGCUUGUGUGGAUCUUCACCUUCUAAAGAUCCCAGCAUCACUUUGCAUCGGUUUCCAAAGCCUGGCACUAAAAUGCUCUGCGGUAUGUACACUCCAUGCUAUUCGUCUUAGACGACAUAGAAUACCACAUUUAUUGUUAAUUCCGCUUCUAACUACCACAAACUCACGUAACAUAUAUACCUAUAUACUUAAGUCCCAACUUUCCUUGCCAAAAAUCAUUAGGUACUUACUAUAAAAAGUUUUCUUGCUUACACCAUUCCCGUAUCUAAUAUAACAUCUCUUUCAAUCAAAGCGAAGACUACCCACUGACAUGAUAUAAUAAUAUCUUAACUCGGAAAAUGAUUAAAAUAGUGUGUAAUUUGAGAGCAGUGGUGGCCGAGUGGUAACUGCCCCAACUUACGAGUGGUAGGUCGCGGGUUCAAACCCGAUCUGGCGCAUAACUUUGUGUAAUUUAUUUCGUCACUACUGCUCUCAAAACGGUGAAGGAAAACAUCGUGAGGAAACCAGCAUGUCCUAGAACCAAAAAAUUCGAAGACGUGUGACAUCCACCAAUCCGCACUGGGCCCGGGGUGGAUUAUGGCCCAAGCCCUCUCCUAGAGAGGAGGCUGUGUCCCAGCAGUGGGAACAUUAGAAGGCUGAUGAUGAGUGUGUAAUUUUGAUAUUUUUAAUUUUCAGUUGUGAAUUAUGGGCAAAGUAUUGCUUCCCAAACGAAGCCUGGUCUUCACCAAAAUUCCAGGACCUCCAUAAACAACAUAAGAUGCUAUGCAGCAAACAUUUCAAAAGCACAUGCUUUAAUGAGAAGAAGUUGUUCAGAACAGCUGUACCUGAUGUUCAAUGCCAAAAGGAUACAACAACUUCUAAUGUGCCAGAUCAAUCUGCCAGAAUCAGUUUUUGGUGAAUUUCUCCACAAUGGCUGCAUACACAAUUUUUUUUUUACCAUACACAAUUAUAGGACGUCAUACACUAAUUAUCUGCAUAAUUAAAAUCUUUAAAUUCAACAACAUUCCGCUGCACGAACGCACACAUAUUUUAUUACAGUUUUAAAGUUAUUUGAGAAAAACAGAUUUGGCUGCAGUAAUGUUUGAAAUGUUAAAACUUGGCAAGAUCGUUUUUCAAAAAUUUGUUUCAGCCCGGAACGAAAUACAUUGAUAUAUAGCUUUUGUUGUGUAGUAAAUGUUUGUAAAUAUCAAAAUAUAAUUGGUCUAGUGUCUUUCUCUUCCUAAUCAUUUCUAUAAUAAAGAAGAAAUAACACCAACGUUUAUUACACAAUAUGAUAGAAUAAUUUAAACCAUGUCUGUAAACUUGUUGUUUGUUAAACAAAUCGAUAGUAUUCUUUAUUGUAUAAUAACAUAGUCUUGUUUUUAUAAUAGUAACACUUUAAAACUAACUAGAAUUUUUGUUUGUUUAUGUUUUGAUGUUGAAAUUGUAUGCAAUAGGCCCAUCCAUACUUGUUAUUUUGGACGAAAAUGUCUGAAAUACCUACCUAAAUUGAUUAAAUUCAUGUAUUUUAAAAUUCAUUACAUAGGUGCACAUACUUGUGAUUUAUGAACACCUUUUGUACCCUAUUUCUGGAAAUAAAUUAUAAUUAUUAACAUGCUAAAUAAAAAACUCUUGUACUGUAA